rnacentral:rRNA from 1 species
GAUAAACGCUGGCGGCGUGCAUGAGACAUGCAAGUCGAACGAAGGAUCGGGCUUGCUCGAUCCUUAGUGGCGGACGGCCGAGUAACGCGUAGGUGACCUACCCCGAAGUGGGGAAUAACUGCCCGAAAGGGUGGCUAAUACCGCAUGUGGUCGCACGUUCAUUCGUGCGAGUAAAGCCGCAAGGCGCUUCGGGAGGGGCCUGCGUCCGAUUAGCUCGUUGGUGGGGUAAUGGCUUACCAAGGCGACGAUCGGUAGGUGGUCUGAGAGGACGAUCACCCAGACUGGGACUGAGACACGGCCCAGACUCCUACGGGAGGCAGCAGUCGGGAAUUUUGCUCAAUGGGGGAAACCCUGAAGCAGCAACGCCGCGUGAGGGAUGAAGGCCUUCGGGUUGUAAACCUCUUUUGUCAGGGACGAUGAUGACGGUACCUGGCGAAUAAGCCACGGCUAACUACGUG